rnacentral:rRNA from 1 species
UUAGUGGCGAACGGGUGAGUAACACGUGGGCAAUCUGCCCUGCACUCUGGGACAAGCCCUGGAAACGGGGUCUAAUACCGGAUAUGACACGGGAUCGCAUGGUCUCCGUGUGGAAAGCUCCGGCGGUGCAGGAUGAGCCCGCGGCCUAUCAGCUUGUUGGUGGGGUGAUGGCCUACCAAGGCGACGACGGGUAGCCGGCCUGAGAGGGCGACCGGCCACACUGGGACUGAGACACGGCCCAGACUCCUACGGGAGGCAGCAGUGGGGAAUAUUGCACAAUGGGCGCAAGCCUGAUGCAGCGACGCCGCGUGAGGGAUGACGGCCUUCGGGUUGUAAACCUCUUUCAGCAGGGAAGAAGCGCGAGUGACGGUACCUGCAGAAGAAGCACCGGCUAACUACGUGCCAGCAGCCGCGGUAAUACGUAGGGUGCGAGCGUUGUCCGGAAUUAUUGGGCGUAAAGAGCUCGUAGGCGGCUUGUCGCGUCGGAUGUGAAAGCCCGGGGCUUAACCCCGGGUCUGCAUUCGAUACGGGCAGGCUAGAGUUCGGCAGGGGAGAUUGGAAUUCCUGGUGUAGCGGUGAAAUGCGCAGAUAUCAGGAGGAACACCGGUGGCGAAGGCGGAUCUCUGGGCCGAUACUGACGCUGAGGAGCGAAAGCGUGGGGAGCGAACAGGAUUAGAUACCCUGGUAGUCCACGCCGUAAACGUUGG